rnacentral:rRNA from 1 species
UACGAAGGGGGCUAGCGUUGCUCGGAAUCACUGGGCGUAAAGCGCACGUAGGCGGACUCUUAAGUCGGGGGUGAAAGCCUGUGGCUCAACCACAGAAUUGCCUUUGAUACUGGGAGGCUCGAGUCCGGGAGAGGUGAGUGGAACUGCGAGUGUAGAGGUGAAAUUCGUAGAUAUUCGCAAGAACACCAGUGGCGAAGGCGGCUCACUGGCCCGGUACUGACGCUGAGGUGCGAAAGCGUGGGGAGCAAACAGG